rnacentral:rRNA from 2 species
GUCCCAAGGGUAUGGCUGUUCGCCAUUUAAAGCGGUACGUGAGUUGGGUUCAGAACGUCGUGAGACAGUUCGGUCCCUAUCUGCCGUGGGUGUAGGAAUAUUGACAGGAUCUGUCCCUAGUACGAGAGGACCGGGAUGGACGUAUCUCUGGUGGAUCUGUUGUCCUGCCAAGGGCAUAGCAGAGUAGCUAUAUACGGAAUGGAUAACCGCUGAAGGCAUCUAAGCGGGAAACCAACCUGAAAACGAGUGUUCCCUAUCAGAGCCGUGGAAGACGACCACGUCGAUAGGACGGGUGUGGAAGUGCAGUAAUGCAUGAAGCUUACCGUUACUAAUAGCUCGAGCGACUUCUUCGUUCCCAUU